GGGGAAUUUUUCCGCAAUGGGCGAAAGCCUGACGGAGCAAGACCGCGUGAGGGAGGAAGGCUCUUGGGUUGUAAACCUCUUUUCUCUGGGAAGAACAAAAUGACGGUACCAGAGGAAUCAGCAUCGGCUAACUCCGUGCCAGCAGCCGCGGUAAGACGGAGGAUGCAAGCGUUAUCCGGAAUGAUUGGGCGUAAAGCGUCCGCAGGUGGCAAUUCAAGUCUGCUGUUAAAGCGCAGGGCUUAACUCUGUAAAGGCAGUGGAAACUGAAUAGCUAGAGUGUGGUAGGGGCAGAGGGAAUUCCCAGUGUAGCGGUGAAAUGCGUAGAGAUUGGGAAGAACAUCGGUGGCGAAGGCGCUCUGCUGGACCAUAACUGACACUCACAGGACGAAAGCUAGGGGAGCGAAUGGGAUUAGAUACCCCAGUAGUCCUAGCCGUAAACGAUGGAUACUAGGUGUUGUCUGUAUCGACCCGGACAGUGCCGUAGCUAACGCGUUAAGUAUCCCGCCUGGGGAGUACGCACGCAAGUGUGAAACUCAAAGGAAUUGACGGGGGCCCGCACAAGCGGUGGAGUAUGUGGUUUAAUUCGAUGCAACGCGAAGAACCUUACCAGGACUUGACAUGUCGCGAAUCUGAGUGAAAGCUCGGAGUGCCUUCGGGAGCGCGAACACAGGUGGUGCAUGGCUGUCGUCAGCUCGUGUCGUGAGAUGUUGGGUUAAGUCCCGCAACGAGCGCAACCCUCGUUUUUAGUUGCCAGCAUUAAGUUGGGCACUCUAAAGAGACUGCCGGUGACAAACCGGAGGAAGGUGGGGAUGACGUCAAGUCAGCAUGCCCCUUACGUCCUGGGCUACACACGUACUACAAUGGUAGGGACAGAGGGCAGCCAACUCGCGAGAGUGAGCUAAUCCCGUAAACCCUGCCUCAGUUCAGAUCGCAGGCUGCAACUCGCCUGCGUGAAGGCGGAAUCGCUAGUAAUCGCCGGUCAGCAUACGGCGGUGAAUCCGUUCCCGGGCCUUGUACACACCGCCCGUCACACCAUGGAAGUUGGCCAUGCCCGAAGUCGUUACUCUAACCGUAAGGAGGAGGAUGCCGAAGGCAGGGCUGAUGACUGGGGUGAAGUCGUAACAAGGUAGCCGUACCGGAAGGUGUGGCUGGAUCACCUCCUUUUAGGGAGACCAACUGAAAUUAACCUAAUCCACUUUCACGGUUAAUAUUCAGAUAUCCCUGGUCGUUCGAGGAAAUUGUUGUCAAACGUGCUUUCAAACUAUUACCUAGUUCGGUUGAUGGGCUAUUAGCUCAGUUGGUUAGAGCGCACCCCUGAUAAGGGUGAGGUCUCUGGUUCAAAUCCAGAAUGGCCCACCUUAAUUAGAAGUUAAAAAUCUCUAAUUAGAAAUCCUAAAUUUUUAAUUUGUAAUUUUUAAUUUGUAAUUUCCCAAAGCGUGGGGGUAUAGCUCAGUUGGUAGAGCGCUGCCUUUGCAAGGCAGAUGUCAGCGGUUCGAGUCCGCUUACCUCCACUCUUACCCAACCAGCCGAAAACAAACAGAAACAAAAGACCAAAAACAAAAAAAUAAGUCAAAAAACUGUUGCGCUUUUAGCAAUAUGUGAUAGACUAGAAAGAGUGACUAUAAAAGCUCAGCACCUAGAUUCAGCUACUAGCUAAUCGGAAUGCUGGUCUUCCAAGUCCAGCCAGAACCUUGAAAACUGCAUAGAAAUAAGUCAUCAAAAAGUUUGAGAGACAUUUACCAGGAAUUUAUUCUAGGUGAAAGUCAAAUCAAGCCGACAAUCAAAAAAAAAAAGGGUCAAGC
rnacentral:sRNA from 1 species